GGAGGAAAGUGUUUUCGUACCCCGCAAGUGACGUCAUGUCACCUCCUACUGCCGCGUGACGUAGUGAGGUAACAGGAAGCUGCCGUUCCGCCCGUGCACUGAAAUCCGAGGCCAAGCCCGCUUUAGCUGCUCUACCGCUCUUGUUUUCAGAAGCGACCUGCCCACAACAACAACAAGGGAAUGGAUUCUUUGCUCCGCAGCAAGUUUCCCCUCCAUGACUCACCCAUUGAUACGACGGUCAAUGGUACAGCGUAUAAUAACAAAUAGUAUAACAUUUAUAUGCUUAAUACAAUGUACAAAGUAAUAUAUAGUAUCGCAAUUGUAUAGUAAACAUAUAGCAGUGUGAUACACAUUAGGGUGAGUAGAAUAAUACAUAGUGUUAUAUUAAAUGUAUAAGGUAU